UGGGCGAAAGCCUGAUCCAGCAAUGCCGCGUGAGUGAUGAAGGCCUUAGGGUUGUAAAGCUCCUUUACCAGGGAUGAUAAUGACAGUACCUGGAGAAUAAGCUCCGGCUAACUCCGUGCCAGCAGCCGCGGUA
rnacentral:rRNA from 1 species